GUGGGGAAUCUUGCGCAAUGGGCGAAAGCCUGACGCAGCCAUGCCGCGUGAAUGGUGAAGGUCUUAGGAUUGUAAAAUUCUUUCACCGGGGACGAUAAUGACGGUACCCGGAGAAGAAGCUCCGGCUAACUUCGUGCCAGCAGCCGCGGUAAUACGAAGGGGGCUAGCGUUGCUCGGAAUUACUGGGCGUAAAGGGCGCGUAGGCGGACAGCUUAGUCAGAGGUGAAAGCCCAGGGCUCAACCUUGGAAUUGCCUUUGAUACUGGCUGUCUUGAGUUUGGGAGAGGUGAGUGGAACUCCGAGUGUAGAGGUGAAAUUCGUAGAUAUUCGGAAGAACACCAGUGGCGAAGGCGACUCACUGGCCCAAUACUGACGCUGAGGCGCGAAAGCGUGGGGAGCAAACAGGAUUAGAAACCCCGGUAGUCC
rnacentral:rRNA from 1 species